rnacentral:rRNA from 1 species
UACGUAGGGUGCGAGCGUUGUCCGGAAUUACUGGGCGUAAAGAGCUCGUAGGUGGUUUGUCGCGUUGUUCGUGAAAACUCACAGCUCAACUGUGGGCGUGCGGGCGAUACGGGCAGACUGGAGUACUGCAGGGGAGACUGGAAUUCCUGGUGUAGCGGUGGAAUGCGCAGAUAUCAGGAGGAACACCGGUGGCGAAGGCGGAUCUCUGGGCCUUACCUGACGCUCAGGCGCGAAAGCUAGGGGAGCGAACAGG